rnacentral:misc_RNA from 1 species
UGGCUCUCGCAUCGAUGAAGAACGCAGCGAAAUGCGAUAAGUAAUGUGAAUUGCAGAAUUCAGUGAAUCAUCGAAUCUUUGAACGCACCUUGCACCCUUUGGUAUUCCGAAGGGUAUGCCUGUUUGAGUGUCAUUUAAUUCUCAAUCCUAACAAGUUGUUAUGACGAGUUAGGUAUUGGACUUGGAUUUGCUGGCUUUCUUAGUCGGCUUUUCUUAAAUGCAUUAGUGGUUUAUCGAUCCCCAUUAAUUGGUGUGAUAAUAUUAUCUGCAUCAACCGAAUGGCUAGGUCAUGUAAUGAUAGACUGCUCUCUAACCGUUCGUAACGAACAAUUUGAACCAUUUGACCUCAAAUCAGGUAGGACUACCCGCUGA